rnacentral:rRNA from 1 species
UACAGAGGGGGCAAGCGUUGUUCGGAAUUACUGGGCGUAAAGGGCGCGUAGGCGGCCUGUUAAGUCGGACGUGAAAUCCCUCGGCUCAACCGGGGAACUGCGUCCGAUACUGGCGGGCUUGAAUUCGGGAGAGGGAUGUGGAAUUCCAGGUGUAGCGGUGAAAUGCGUAGAUAUCAGGAGGAACACCGGUGGCGAAGGCGGGUCUCUGGGCCGAUACUGACGCUGAGGAGCGAAAGCGUGGGGAGCGAACAGG